UUCACAGUGGCUAAGUUCCGAA
rnacentral:ncRNA from 2 species